rnacentral:rRNA from 1 species
GAUGAACGCUGGCGGCGUGCCUAAUACAUGCAAGUCGAACGCUUAUUUCCUACCUUGUGCUUGCGCUCAAUUGGAAAGAGGAGUGGCGGACGGGUGGGUAACACGUCCGGAACCUAGCCAACAGAGGGGGAAAACACUCGGAAACAGGUGAUAAUAUCGCAUAACAGUUUAUGCCGCAUGGCAUAAGAGUGAAAGGCGCUGUCGGGGCGCGCUAAUGGCUUGAUCCGCGGGGCAUUAGCUAGUUGGUGAGGUAACGGCAGACCAAGGGCACGAUGGAUAGCCGACCUGAGAGGGGGAUCGGCGACACGGGGACGGAGACAGGGCCAAGACGACUACGGGAGGCAGCAGUAGGGAACCGGCGGCAAUGGACGAAAGUCUGACCGAGCAACGGAGCGUGAGUGAAGAAGGUGUUCGGAGCGUAAAACUGGGUUGUUAGAGAAGAACAAGGACGUUAGUAACUGAACGUCCCCUGACGGUAUCUAACCAGAAAGCCACGGCUAACUACGUG